rnacentral:rRNA from 1 species
UACGUAGGGGGCUAGCGUUGUCCGGAUUUAUUGGGCGUAAAGAGCGUGUAGGCGGCCAGGUAGGUCUGCUGUGAAAACUCGAGGCUUAACCUCGAGAUGUCGGUGGAAACCAUCUGGCUAGAGUCCGGAAGAGGAGAGUGGAAUUCCUGGUGUAGCGGUGAAAUGCGCAGAUAUCAGGAAGAACACCCGUGGCGAAGGCGGCUCCCUGGGACGGUACUGACGCUGAGACGCGAAAGCGUGGGGAGCGAACAGG